AUUGAGCGCUGGCGGCAUGCCUUACACAUGCAAGUCGAACGGUAACAGGUUAAGCUGACGAGUGGCGAACGGGUGAGUAAUAUAUCGGAACGUGCCCAGUCGUGGGGGAUAACUGCUCGAAAGAGCAGCUAAUACCGCAUACGACCUGAGGGUGAAAGCGGGGGAUCGCAAGACCUCGCGCGAUAGGAGCGGCCGAUAUCAGAUUAGGUAGUUGGUGGGGUAAAGGCCCACCAAGCCAACGAUCUGUAGCUGGUCUGAGAGGACGACCAGCCACACUGGGACUGAGACACGGCCCAGACUCCUACGGGAGGCAGCAGUGGGGAAUUUUGGACAAUGGGCGCAAGCCUGAUCCAGCCAUGCCGCGUGCGGGAAGAAGGCCUUCGGGUUGUAAACCGCUUUUGUCAGGGAAGAAAAGGUUCUGGUUAAUACCUGGGACUCAUGACGGUACCUGAAGAAUAAGCACCGGCUAACUACGUGCCAGCCGCCGCCGUAA
rnacentral:rRNA from 1 species